rnacentral:rRNA from 1 species
UACGAAGGGUGCAAACGUUGCUCGGAAUCAUUGGGCGUAAAGCGCACGUAGGCGGCUUCGCAAGUCGGAUGUGAAAUCCCUCGGCUCAACCGAGGACGUGCAUCCGAAACUGCGAGGCUUGAGUACUGAAGAGGAUCGCGGAAUUCCCGGUGUAGAGGUGAAAUUCGUAGAUAUCGGGAGGAACACCAGUGGCGAAGGCGGCGAUCUGGGCAGUUACGUGACGCUGAGGUGCGAAAGCGAUGGGGAGCAAACAGGGAUUAAGAAACCCCGUUGUA